rnacentral:rRNA from 1 species
AUUGAACGCUGGCGGCAGGCUUAACACAUGCAAGUCGAGCGGGGAAGGGUAGCUUGCUACCUGACCUAGCGGCGGACGGGUGAGUAAUGCUUAGGAAUCUGCCUAUUAGUGGGGGACAACAUUCCGAAAGGAAUGCUAAUACCGCAUACGCCCUACGGGGGAAAGCAGGGGAUCUUCGGACCUUGCGCUAAUAGAUGAGCCUAAGUCAGAUUAGCUAGUUGGUGGGGUAAAGGCCUACCAAGGCGACGAUCUGUAGCGGGUCUGAGAGGAUGAUCCGCCACACUGGGACUGAGACACGGCCCAGACUCCUACGGGAGGCAGCAGUGGGGAAUAUUGGACAAUGGGCGCAAGCCUGAUCCAGCCAUGCCGCGUGUGUGAAGAAGGCCUUUUGGUUGUAAAGCACUUUAAGCGAGGAGGAGGCUGCUUGGAUUAAUACUCUAGGAUAGUGGACGUUACUCGCAGAAUAAGCACCGGCUAACUCCGUGCCAGCAGCCGCCGUAA